GGACCAAUAGCUCAGUGGUAGAGCACACGAUUGCAAAUCGUGUUGUCCCGAGUUCAAUCCUCGGUUGGGCCU
rfam:Sphaerobolus stellatus SS14 unplaced genomic scaffold SPHSTscaffold_19, whole genome shotgun sequence.